GGAGGAUGCGCUUCCCAGCGCCCAGCGGCAGAGGCCACGGCUCCCAGAAAUGCGUGCUCCCGAACCACUUCGCCCAGACCCGCGGAGCCCGCGCCCCCGCCCAGUAGGUAGGUCGCCGAGGCGGGGCCAGGCCUUGAAGGCUACCGGCUGCUGAUGCUGCGGCCAGGAAGAACCGGAGCCUCCCUCCUGGGCUGCCGAGGUGUACUAAUGGCGCUGGGCGCAGCCCCCGGGGGACCCGAAACGCUCUGCUUGGAACGUUCGAGGCCGAGCCGGGGCGCAGGGCCACUGGACCCUCCUCGCUAACAAUCAGGGGACCCUCGGUUGGGGGCUGGGAGAGCUUGGAAGGAUAGGUUGGCGCGGAGCUUCUUUGAAAGGAGACCGUUGCCUUUUUCUCGAGCUCAAGUAGAUUGUGUCAUUGCAUUUUUAAAAAACAGGAUCAGCAAAUGCGUUCUUCCUGUUCUUUUUGCUAAAAUGUAGACGACCACGGUUGUUGUUUUAGAGGUAUUUAGGGGUGGUUAUGAAUUUUUGUGUAAUUUACAGCUAGCCGAGUGGUAUAUAAAGUCAGUGGUGCAAACACUUUAACAUUUUGGGUGUCAGUUUAAGGAAAGUCUUUCUAGAAAUCAGAUUACCUAGGUAGGUGAUGGAUGAGGCUGGCGUGUUCUCGUAGGAUAAAGCUGACUGGAGCCAAUGGGUUUGAGAGCUGCAAGUUUGAUACAGGUGUCGGGAGUUGAGACUCUGAAAGAUGCGCCAGCAGAGGCAGUCUUGUCUCCGGCCUCGCCUUCAACUCUGAGCUGACCCUUGCUUUUCUGAGAAUCUGGUUGAGUCUUUUUUUCCUGUUCUUGAAAUAAAAGUAAUACAUUAGGGCUUUUAAUAAAAUUGUUUCCUCUCAGGCUGCCGUUUUGGAUUUUACGUUAAGCAAUAAGGUUUAGAAUUUUGAAAAAAUUGUUAUUGUAAGCUCCAAUUUUAUAAGCACUAUUUCAGAUUAAAGAUUUUGGCUAACUGAAUCAAUAUAAAUACUAAGAGGACAGAAUCACCAUCAUUACCAGGUCCUCUUCCCCCUGCUACUCCUCGACCACCCCCCCCUUCUCUUCCCAUUCUCUAAUUCCCCAAUGUUGAAUGCCUUAUAGCUGUUUGUUGGUUAUUUGUUGAAUGAAUGAAAUUGUAUUUCAAGAUACACAUUGUAUAUAACCCAACCAUUUAAAAUUAUAGUAUAAGAUUGUUGUUGUUGUUGCUAGUGCAAUUAACUGUAUUUUAAAUAAUUGCUUCUUUCUAUAAACAGGCUAACUUGGUUAUUUUUCAUUGACAUUUCCGGCGUCAACAGCAAGGCUCUGUUAAGGUUCCCUUCGUGUCCACUUUCCAGUGUUAUAGCAAUUAAUACCAUUUCAAUUUUACUUUAAAAAAACAAUUUAGAAGGCAGAAUUUAUGUUUAAAGAAAUCUAUUAAGUUAUUUCAGAAGGAGCAGUGAUCUGGUUAAUAAGUAACAGGUAACUUGUUUUAAAGUUGAGCUGUGGUUUAUUUUUAAUAUAUAUAUAUAUAUAUUGUUAAAGCUAAAGAGGGAAACAAAACAUUUAAAAGCGUCUGUGGUUCCAAAGUAAACUCAUAUAUAUAUCAUAUAGAUAGAGAUUUAUUUAUUUAUUUAUUUAUUUAUUUAUUUAUUUAUUUUUGAUGCUAGGAGCCAGAUCCAAGAUUAGACUCGAGGCUUCUGAUGUAUUGGGCUAAUCCUAUUUGAGCAACAUCUUCAACCUUAGAAAUGGCAUUUUAGCUAUUUUCUCUAUAAAUUGAGGUUUUUAGAUGAUCCUGUGUCUUUUCUGCUUGAAAAUGUUUAGGAGAAAAAGACAAACAAAACAAAAACAAAAAAUCCGUUUCUGUUUGCCUUCCAUUUACACUGUGAGGGUUUGGGCUUUGGCAUUUGUUUUUCUGUCACAUAAUGUAGUGAGUCAUCAUUAACUUCU
rnacentral:lncRNA from 1 species